ensembl:snoRNA Gm26344 small nucleolar RNA SNORA17
CCUGACCCAAGAGCCAUUGCAGGUGUGGCUGCUGAGUCACAUGUGUGUCGGUAGGUGGCAGAGAGGAGAGAGGCUAUGUCUAUUCUCAGUGUUUGAACCUAUGAACAUCUGAAUAAUUAGUAGCUUAACAUU